rnacentral:rRNA from 1 species
GAUGAACGCUGGCGGCGUGCCUAAUACAUGCAAGUCGAGCGAACGGACGAGAAGCUUGCUUCUCUGAUGUUAGCGGCGGACGGGUGAGUAACACGUGGAUAACCUACCUAUAAGACUGGGAUAACUUCGGGAAACCGGAGCUAAUACCGGAUAAUAUUUUGAACCGCAUGGUUCAAAAGUGAAAGACGGUCUUGCUGUCACUUGUAGAUGGAUCCGCGCUGCAUUAGCUAGUUGGUAAGGUAACGGCUUACCAAGGCAACGAUGCAUAGCCGACCUGAGAGGGUGAUCGGCCACACUGGAACUGAGACACGGUCCAGACUCCUACGGGAGGCAGCAGUAGGGAAUCUUCCGCAAUGGGCGAAAGCCUGACGGAGCAACGCCGCGUGAGUGAUGAAGGUCUUCGGAUCGUAAAACUCUGUUAUUAGGGAAGAACAUAUGUGUAAGUAACUGUGCACAUCUUGACGGUACCUAAUCAGAAAGCCACGGCUAACUACGUG